AACCUAGCACACCUGCGGUGUGUACCUGCGGAAGGAUCAUUACCGAGUUAUACAACUCAUCAACCCCUGUGAACUUACCUACAACGUUGCUUCGGCGGGAACAGACGGCCCCGUAAAACGGGCCGCCCCCGCCAGAGGACCCCUAACUCUGUUUUUAUAAUGUUUUUCUGAGUAAACAAGCAAAUAAAUUAAAACUUUUAACAAUGGAUCU
rnacentral:misc_RNA from 1 species